CCUACGGGAGGCAGCAGUGGGGGCUAUUGCACAAUGGGGGAAACCCUGAUGCAGCGACGCCGCGUGGGUGAAGAAGUAUUUCGGUAUGUAAAGCCCUAUCAGCAGGGAAGAAAGAAGACGGUACCUGACUAAGAAGCCCCGGCUAACUACGUGCCAGCAGCCGCGGUAAUACGUAGGGGGCGAGCGUUAUCCGGAUUCACUGGGUGUAAAGGGAGCGUAGACGGCCGUGCAAGCCAGGAGUGAAAGCCCGGGGCCCAACCCCGGGACUGCUCUUGGAACUGUGCGGCUGGAGUGCGGGAGGGGCAGGCGGAAUUCCUGGUGUAGCGGUGAAAUGCGUAGAUAUCAGGAGGAACACCGGCGGCGAAGGCGGCCUGCUGGACCGCGACUGACGUUGAGGCUCGAAAGCGUGGGGAGCGAACAGGAUUAGAUACCCUAGUAGUC
rnacentral:rRNA from 1 species